GUUAGGACCCCUUCAAGUACAGUUGAUCUUGCAGCAUCGGAUUUACUGUCAGGAAGCAAUCUGGACACAAUGAUUAACCAGAUAAUGGAGAUGGGGGGUGGCAGCUGGGACAGAGAUAAGGUCCAAAGAGCUCUCCGUGCUGCUUAUAACAAUCCAGAACGUGCCAUUGACUAUCUGUACUCUGGUAUUCCAGUGACAGCUGAAGUUGCUGUUCCGCUGGUUGGUCAAGGGGCAAACACCACUGAUGCAGCUCCCGGAGAAACCGGCCUCUCUGGAAUCCCAAACACAGCACCAUUAGAUCUUUUCCCACAGGGGGCUUCCCAUGCUGGAGGUGCUGCUGGGGGUGGAUCACUUGAUUUUCUUAGAAAUAACCAACAGUUUCAAGCACUUCGGGAAAUGGUCCAUACAAAUCCACAAAUUUUACUGCCUAUGCUCCAGGAAUUGAGCAAGCAGAAUCCUCCACUUCUGAGGUUGAUUCAAGAGAACAAUGAUGAGUUCCUUCAGUUACUAAACGAGACAUUUGAAGGCGGCGAUGGGGACUAUUUAGACCAGGCUGACCAGGAUGAGAUGCCUCAUGCUAUCAGUGUAACACCAGAAGAGCAAGAGGCAAUUGGGCGGCUGGAAGCCAUGGGGUUUGAGAGAGCACAUGUCAUCGAAGCAUUCUUCGCCUGCGACAGGAAUGAGCAACUCGCUGCAAACUAUCUUCUUGAGCAUGCUGGUGCUGAAGAAUAG
rnacentral:rRNA from 1 species